AUGAACGCUAGCUACAGGCUUAACACAUGCAAGUCGAGGGGCAGCAUGGUCUUAGCUUGCUAAGGCCGAUGGCGACCGGCGCACGGGUGAGUAACACGUAUCCAACCUGCCGUCUACUCUUGGACAGCCUUCUGAAAGGAAGAUUAAUACAAGAUGGCAUCAUGAGUCCGCAUGUUCACAUGAUUAAAGGUAUUCCGGUAGACGAUGGGGAUGCGUUCCAUUAGAUAGUAGGCGGGGUAACGGCCCACCUAGUCUUCGAUGGAUAGGGGUUCUGAGAGGAAGGUCCCCCACAUUGGAACUGAGACACGGUCCAAACUCCUACGGGAGGCAGCAGUGAGGAAUAUUGGUCAAUGGGCGAGAGCCUGAACCAGCCAAGUAGCGUGAAGGAUGACUGCCCUAUGGGUUGUAAACUUCUUUUAUAAAGGAAUAAAGUCGGGUAUGGAUACCCGUUUGCAUGUACUUUAUGAAUAAGGAUCGGCUAACUCCGUGCCAGCAGCCGCGGUAAUACGGAGGAUCCGAGCGUUAUCCGGAUUUAUUGGGUUUAAAGGGAGCGUAGAUGGAUGUUUAAGUCAGUUGUGAAAGUUUGCGGCUCAACCGUAAAAUUGCAGUUGAUACUGGAUAUCUUGAGUGCAGUUGAGGCAGGCGGAAUUCGUGGUGUAGCGGUGAAAUGCUUAGAUAUCACGAAGAACUCCGAUUGCGAAGGCAGCCUGCUAAGCUGCAACUGACAUUGAGGCUCGAAAGUGUGGGUAUCAAACAGGAUUAGAUACCCUGGUAGUCCACACGGUAAACGAUGAAUACUCGCUGUUUGCGAUAUACUGCAAGCGGCCAAGCGAAAGCGUUAAGUAUUCCACCUGGGGAGUACGCCGGCAACGGUGAAGCUCAAAGGAAUUGACGGGGGCCCGCACAAGCGGAGGAACAUGUGGUUUAAUUCGAUGAUACGCGAGGAACCUUACCCGGGCUUAAAUUGCAGAUGAAUUACGGUGAAAGCCGUAAGCCGCAAGGCAUCUGUGAAGGUGCUGCAUGGUUGUCGUCAGCUCGUGCCGUGAGGUGUCGGCUUAAGUGCCAUAACGAGCGCAACCCUUGUUGUCAGUUACUAACAGGUUCCGCUGAGGACUCUGACAAGACUGCCAUCGUAAGAUGUGAGGAAGGUGGGGAUGACGUCAAAUCAGCACGGCCCUUACGUCCGGGGCUACACACGUGUUACAAUGGGGGGUACAGAGGGCCGCUACCACGCGAGUGGAUGCCAAUCCCAAAAACCUCUCUCAGUUCGGACUGGAGUCUGCAACCCGACUCCACGAAGCUGGAUUCGCUAGUAAUCGCGCAUCAGCCACGGCGCGGUGAAUACGUUCCCGGGCCUUGUACACACCGCCCGUCAAGCCAUGGGAGCCGGGGGUACCUGAAGUGCGUAACCGCGAGGAGCGCCCUAGGGUAAAACUGGUGACUGGGGCU
rnacentral:rRNA from 1 species